AGUGAACGCUGGCGGUAGGCCUAACACAUGCAAGUCGAACGGCAGCACAGUAAGAGCUUGCUCUUACGGGUGGCGAGUGGCGGACGGGUGAGGAAUACAUCGGAAUCUACUUUUUCGUGGGGGAUAACGUAGGGAAACUUACGCUAAUACCGCAUACGACCAACGGGUGAAAGCAGGGGAUCUUCGGACCUUGCGCGAUUGAAUGAGCCGAUGUCGGAUUAGCUAGUUGGCGGGGUAAAGGCCCACCAAGGCGACGAUCCGUAGCUGGUCUGAGAGGAUGAUCAGCCACACUGGAACUGAGACACGGUCCAGACUCCUACGGGAGGCAGCAGUGGGGAAUAUUGGACAAUGGGCGCAAGCCUGAUCCAGCCAUACCACGUGGGUGAAGAAGGCCUUCGGGUUGUAAAGCCCUUUUGUUGGGAAAGAAAAGCAGCAGGUUAAUACCCCGCUGUUCUGACGGUACCCAAAGAAUAAGCACCGGCUAACUUCGUG
rnacentral:rRNA from 1 species